ACAUGUCUUUUUAGUAUUUAAUAUAAAGUCUGGCCUGCCCACUGAAUAGAAUAUUUGAAGGGCCGCAGUAUUUUGACUGUGCAAAGGUAGCAUAAUCAUUAGUCUUUUAAUUGAAGGCUGGUAUGAAUGGUCGGAUGAGAUAUAAGCUGUGUCAUAAAAAUUAUUAUUUGAAUUUAACUUUUUAGUCAAAAGGCUAAAAUAAUUUUAAAAGACGAGAAGACCCUAUAGAGCUUUAUAUAGUAAAUGUUUAAAUUAUUAAGAUUUAUUAAAUUUAAUUUUUGUACUUUAUUAUGUUGGGGUGACAAUAAAAUUUAUAAAACUUUUAUUUUUAUUUAACAUUAAUCUAUGGUUAUAUGAUCCAAUUUUAUUGAUUAUAAAUUUAAGUUACCUUAGGGAUAACAGCGUAAUUUUUUUUGAGAGUUCUUAUCGACAAAAAAGAUUGCGACCUCGAUGUUGGAUUAAGAUUAAUUUUGGGUGUAGAAGUUCAAAAUUUAAGUCUGUUCGACUUUUAAAUUCUUACAUGAUC
rnacentral:rRNA from 1 species